CUACGGGAGGCAGCAGUGAGGAAUUUUGCGCAAUGGGGGAAACCCUGACGCAGCAACGCCGCGUGAGUGAUGAAGGCCUUCGGGUCGUAAAACUCUGUCAAGUGGGAAGAACCCACUUAUGGUUAAUAUCCAUGAGUGCUGACGGUACCACUGAAGGAAGCACCGGCUAACUCCGUGCCAGCAGCCGCGGUAAUACGGAGGGUGCAAGCGUUAUUCGGAAUUAUUGGGCGUAAAGGGCGCGUAGGCGGCCCUGUAAGUCAGAUGUGAAAGCCCGGGGCUCAACCCCGGAAGUGCAUUUGAUACUGCAUGGCUUGAGUAUGGGAGAGGGAAGUGGAAUUCCUGGUGUAGAGGUGAAAUUCGUAGAUAUCAGGAGGAACACCGGUGGCGAAGGCGACUUCCUGGACCAAUACUGACGCUGAGGCGCGAAGGCGUGGGGAGCAAACAGGAUUAGAUACCCGGGUAGUC
rnacentral:rRNA from 1 species